ACCAGCUUUUAUUUAUCACAAGGUUCUGAUUUUUUUAAUAAUUUUUGUGAUAAUUUUUUAAAUCUCAUUGGCUCCUCUCAUGAUUUUAAUACGAUUUGUUCAUUACUAAAAUAUUUAACUAGUAAGAUAUUCAUAAAAAUCUAAAUAAGUCUAGAUUCUAAUGAACUGACUGUAUAUUAAACAGUAAAGUUGUGAACCACCCAUCCUUCAAUGCUUAAAUUGUUAAUUGUUCAAUCCUGUCAUUUAUGAUGAGUAUAUAAAACAAGUUUUCCACCUGUUCGGAGUUAUUGGAGCUUUUCCUCUAUCUUAUUCCAACUUGCAUCUAAAUGUGUUUCUCUAAUGUUUUAUCUAAAUUUUCGUCGUUUAUUCUGAAGUGUUUUAUGCUUAUGGAUACACUUUUUAGCCAUUAAAUAAUUCAGCUCUUCAAGCAAAUGUUGAAUAUCAAAAUUGACUAGGAAUCAAUAGAAACCGGUGAUCUAAAUUUCAUCUUGAAAGUUGUUCAUUUUCAUAUGACUGGGCUGGAAUGCUUGAACUGAAUCGACUUGAUUUCACAAAAGGAAAAUGAAAGAACACAAUAAAUUUAUUGUGCCCUGUUCUCGGCCAGUAUAAAAGUCUUAAGUGUACUUUUCAUCAAGCAUUUUCAGCGAUCACCCAACACUUAGAUGUAUUUAGUUACACCAUUUUAAGGUACUAUUGUUGACUAAAUGAGCGAAAAACAUGUUAUUUAAAGAAGAUAUCAGAGCAAUACAGCGUGACACUUGAUUUUCAAUGGUGCUAUCAUCAUUGUUGAACAAGUUGUGUUCAUCAUUGUUACGAUUGACAGUUUUUGUUUGAUUUGUGUUUCUUUUUGUAUUAACAAGCGUUCACUCUGUGUGUACACUUCACAGUCUUUUCAGUAUUUUGUAAAAAAUCAGAACCAUGCCAUGUCUCCCUAUCCGGUACCUUUUUGCGUAAUCUAUUAGUUAAGCUAAUUGUUUACUCAAGUAUCGUUAGUUCCAUUGAAAAGAUUAACACCAACAGUGAUUAUAAAUCGAAUCAGUAAAUAGUCAUUUUCUAUUAGCUUAAUAAUAAACAAUUCAAUUUAUCUCGUCAUGUAAUUAACCGUUUAUUGCUAUUUUUGCUACCCUAACUAUCUGUAUCCACCCUUUUCAAUGAUAACAAUAGUGCAGAGACAAUGAUUUAUUAAACCCCUGACUUACUGAACAGUUUUGUAAUAGUAGUUUUAAUAAUAAAAAGAUUGAAAUUUAAUAAGAACUGGAUCGAGCUGUGGUAUUUAAGGAUUCAUUAGUACAUUGAUAAAACCAAAAAAAACUCGAAUCACGAUCAUCUCGUCAUAUUUAUUUUACCAGUUGAUUUGUUGAUUUCAAAACUCAUACUUGGAACUGCCAUAUUAAAUGCUUGAACUUGAAUUAAAA